CCCACCGCCGCGGCGCUUGGCCUGGCAGCGGCCGGGCGGUGGCGCAGGAAAGCGGCAAGGCAGCACUGCACAAUUGUUCUGGUGGCACUGCUGGCUGGGAGACCGGCUGGGGCCGCCAGAGCUGGGUGCUGCUGGAGCGAGAGGUGCCAGCGGAGGGUCGCAGCUCCAGGAGGACUCUCGAAAGGAGCCAUGGAGUACUAUCUUGCUGCUGGCGCCCGAAAUAUAGAUGGAGUGCUGAGCGCAAAGGAGAAUAGGGGUGAGCUGUGCAAGAAGGCUAUUGAGAUGGUGGCCUGAAUGCCCAUGAGCGUCUCUGUCUUUCUAGCUUGAGUGCAGAAGACAGCAGGUGUAGUAAGAUGUACUGAGCUGCUGGACAUCCCGCUCGGGGUCAAAAUCCCUUUGUUGCCUGGCUCCCACCCUGUCUUCUGCCAGACCAAGCUGGGGGAAAAGGUGGUUUGCACUCUGUGGGAGUUCAACGAAUACAGGCAGUAUCUGAUGACACUCAAAACAGAGGCUGACAAAAUGUGCCAGCGAGAACAAGUGCUCACUGAAAUCUUCCUCUUGUAAAUACUCUCUGGAAACCUCUCCAAUUCUCCAAUUCCGUUCUGAAGAACUGAAAGAAAUUAUGAAGGGUGACAUGGAUUGUUAGGGCUUUUUGCAUUUUAAGGACCUCUCUGGUGUAUUUGGUGCUGAGUCCAUGAAGCUCAGAUACUGAGAAGAGGCUGAACAAACCCCUCAAGAAGUUAAAGGCAUGUGGAGGACAGAUAAGUGAACUUUUGCCCUAGACAUUUCUUGGUACAUAAGAUAUGAACCUUGCUGCACACUUUGCAAAUUCUGCAGGAAACCGUAACUACAAGCAAGCCAUCCAUUUUCAUCUGCUCCCAGCGGAAACAGGACUGAGAUGGUGUUUUUCCCAUUGUACAAGCAAGCCAUCUGUUUCUAGAGGAAACAGGACCGAGAUGCUACGACCACCUGGGACACACUGAGCCUGCACUGAACCAGACCAUGCUGCAUCACGUCCACCAUGCAUAUGCAUGAGGUUUCUUGGAAACGGGUGGAGAUUUUGGGACUUGGACUGUAUAAAAAUGGUACCACCCAAAGCUAAGUAGGGGUCCCACCUACCACAAAACGGGACGCCCCCACUGCCGAGACUCCCAAAGGAAGAGGAUCAACGGGACGCCAUUGGAUCCAUGGGUGGUGAUAUCUCUUUCUCUCUCUCCCUCUCUCUCUCUCUUUUUGAUGAAUGUUGGUGAGAUCUCUUCGAAACGUGUGGCACGGGACUUGUCUAUCUAGUUGAAGUAAUCGCUAUUGAAUUACCAUAUUUUAACCACAUGCCUUAUCUUUUGUGUUAAUAAGUCAUAAAACUGGUUGGCUGGUGUCGU